rnacentral:misc_RNA from 1 species
AUGAGUUUUGGCUCAUUUGUAUUAGAGUUGUCUCUAAGGUUAUGGGGUCUUAACUUUGAACCUCAGUCGUAGCUCAAUCAAUAAAAGAAAUCAAUAAUAUUGCUAUUAAACUUAAAGAUGCAAACCACACAAUUGCACUACAAUUAUAGAACUAAUAUAUGCAGCUCUCCAAAUUAAGGAACCUUAAUCCCAAAUUAGUUGGAGUCG